GAAGCAAGAAGGUGCCACCUCGGGAGAAGAGAGCAGUCUGGACCAACCGCCAAAUCUCCGCUGCCUUGAUUUCGGACUUCUCAGCCCCAGAACUGUUGUGUGCAGCACUGAAGAGUGACUUCAGCUAUUGAGUUACACCUCAAUGCAACCUCCUGGCAGGCCAGCCUUAAGCCCAGCAGUCCAACCAUGCAUCUAAGCUGAGUUCUCAUCAGAGCCAACUUCAAUUAUAAGCAACUGAGACGAUGCCAGAGGCCAGAAUCCCUGAGAACCCAAUUUGCUGUCAUCACCGUGGCUGAAACAAGGCACUUGGCAUCUAGAAAAGCUGAUGUGUAGGAAAUUUCCAAUAGAGUUCAAUUUUUUCUAAGUUUAAAGUGUACAAUAUCAUCAAGGUCAGACGCUCGAGAUAAAACUAGGCUUGCGUUUAAAUAGAAUAAGAAUAUUUGAAGAAUAGUAAGAGUGGUGACUACUUUUACAUAGGAAUGUUUUAAAUAAAUUGUUUUUUUCUUGUGUCUUUUAAAUUUAGUGAUUUGUCAAUGAGAUGCUGACAUAUUUUUAAUGAAGCAUGCCUUGUAAAAUAAUAAGUGAAUGAAAAAUACACAGUAAUAUUUACAUCAACAAAGCUAGAAGACUGCAUGUCUCAAGAGGCUCCAUCAUCUACCCAGUGGCCACUUGACCAAAUUAAGACCCAAAUACCAAAAAGAAAAGUAAUUAAAAUUUGUGUUGUAUGCCUUACAAGACCAAACCUAUAAAAUGAGGGGAAACUUCACAAUUACUUGUAAUUCGCUCUGUGGAAUUGUAACAGAUGGAUUAUAAAUAUGAUUCCAUGAUAAACAUCUAAAUGUGGUUACUACCUUCUGUGCUUUCUUGGUUCAUAUUUUUAUUGUUUUUUCUUUAUAAACAGAUAAUUCAUUCUUAUCUAUGGCAAUGCAAAAUUUUCAGAUGUAUUGAAUAUGUCAUGGUUUUUUUUCUAUUGUAGGCGUCUCUAAAAAAGGUACAAAAAACAAACACAGCAAAGUCUGGUGUUGGAAAGGAGAGAGGAAUAAAGCUUGUAAAGGAAUGAAAAUCAGAGCUUUCUGGAGACAAAAAUUCUUAGAAGAUACAAAAGCUAGUUACUGAAUUAGAUGAAGGUUCUUUUUCAGUUUUUCCCAGUUGUUCAUCUCUUAGAAGGCACAUAUUCACAUCAGAAAAGAAAGAAAGGGUUAAAACGAAAAUACCUCCGUAUAGUGAGACUGUAAUUUCACGAAGGCAUUACUGAAGACUCACCUUUUCCAGCAUCACUCAGCAUGGUAUUAUGCAUGUGUGUAAUGUAAAGGAAAGUGAAUACUCAUUCUUGGAUGGGUGAUCAAAUCAUGAUUCCAGAAUAUAAUCAGAAGCUGAUUCAUUAUCCUCUUCAGAUUUCACAAUCUUUCCAUCAGGAAUUAAAAUUCAGAAGAGGGUGAAUGCAUCUAAUCUUCUGAAAGUUAAAAAUUAGAGGGUGGAGACAAGAUGGCCGAAUAGGAACAGCUCCAGUCCACAGCUCCCAGCGUGAGCGAUGCAGAAGACAGGUGAUUUCUGCAUUUCCAACUGAGGUACCGGGUUCAUCUCACUGGGGAGUGCCGGACAGUGGGUGCAGCAAACCGUGCAUGAGCCGAAGCAGGGCGAGGCAUCGCCUCACCUGGGAAGCACAAGGGGUCAGGGAAUUCCCUUUCCUAGUCAAAGAAAAGGGUGACAGAUGGCACCCAGAAAACCGUGUCACUCCCACCCUAAUAAUGCGCUUUUCCAACAGGAUUAUCAAAUGGCACAACAGAUUAUAUCCCGCACCUGGCUGGGAGGGUCCUACGCCCAUGGAGCCUUGCUCAUUGCUAGCACAGCAGUCUGAGGUCAAACUGCAAGGCGGGAGCGAGGCUGGGGGAGGGGCGCCCGCCAUUGCCCAGGCUUGAGUAGGUAAACAAAGCGGCCAGGAAGGUCGAACUGGGUGGAGCCCACCACAGCUCAAGGAGGCCUGCCUGCCUCUGUAGGCUCCACCUCUGGGGGCAGGGCACAGACAAACAAAAGACAGCAGUAACCUCUGCAGACUUAAAUGUCCCUGUCUGACAACUUUGCAGAGAGUAGUGGUUCUCCCAGCACGCAGCUGGAGAUCUGAGAACGGGAAGACUGCCUCCUCAAGUGGGUCCCUGACCCCCGAGUAGCCUAACUGGGAGGCACCCCCCCAUAGGGGUGGACUGACACCUCACACGGCCGGGUAUUCCUCUGAGACAAAACUUCCAGAGGAACAAUCAGGCAGCAGCGUCUGCGGUUCACCAAUAUCCGCUGUUCUGCAGCCUCCACUGCUGAUACACAGGCAAACAGGGUCUGGAGUGGACCUCCAGUAAACUCUGACAGACCUGCAGCUGAGGGUCCUGACUGUUAGAAGGAAAACUAACAAACAGAAAGGACAUCCACACCAAAACCCCAUCUGUAUGUCACCAUCAUCAAAGACCAAAGUUAGAUAAAACCACGAAGAUGGAGAAAAAACAGAACAGAAAAACUGGAAACUCUAAAAAUCAGAGCACCUGUCCUCCUCCAAAGAAAUGCAGCUCCUCACCAGCAACGGAACAAAGGUGGAUGGUGAAUGACUUUGACGAGUUCAGAGAGGAAGGCUUCAGAAGAUCAAACUACUCCAAGCUAAAGGAGGAAGUUCGAACCAAUGGCAAAUAAGUUAAAAACUUUGAAAAAAAAAUUACAUAAAUGGAUAACUAGAAUAACCAAUGCAGAGAAGUCCUUAAAGGACCUGAUGGAGCUAAAAACCACAGCACAAGAACUAUGUGACAAAUGCACAAGCCGCAGUAACCGAUGCGAUCAACUGGAAGAAGGGAUAUCAGCGAUGGAAGAAGAAAUGAAUGAAAUGAAGCGUGAAGAGAAGUUU